GUUAAGGUUUGGCUUUAUGGCUCGGAAUGUGGUUUUCCUUGGCAAAUCUUUCACAAGAUUGAAAAGAAUGUGCAUUCUGCUGUUGUUGGCUGGAGCAUUCUGUAGGUGUCAAGCAGGCUGAGAGUGCUGGUCACAUCCACUAUAUGCCACAAAGUUUCUGCCUGCUUGAUCUUCCAAUUACCAAAAGAAGGUAUUAAAGUCUUUACUCAUAAUAAUUGAUUUAUUUAUCUUUGCAGUGUUAUCUUUUUGCCCCCGUUUCACACUGCUGUUAGAUGCAUAUAUGUUUAUAACUUUUUAGUCUUCUUAGAGAACUGACCUCUUUAUCAGCAAAAUGCCUCUAUUUAUCCCUGAUAAAUCUCUUUUUCCAAAAUAAGUUUCAGAUUUUUUAUGUAGGAGGUGACCCCAAGAUCAAGAGUGAGUGAAUGAGGAGAGUAAAACAGGGAAGAAACAAAACCCAACAGCAGUCAUGGAGGCUGUCACUCUUGGAAAUGGGACAAUGAUUGUACUGGAACAGCUGAGAUACAUGUGGAAUGCUUCCCAGAAUUAUUUACUCCAAAGAUGGGAAGCUAGAACAUUUAUCUAUUAGCUCUCAACCCUUCUUGGAUGAGGGUGGUUCCCGAGGGUAUUAACUUCCCCACACUUAGGGGCUGGGCUUGCUGUGGGUCCAGGAGAGUCGAGCCCUGACACAGGAGGUGUUAAGGUAGGGUAUGAGGUGUGGCCAUGCACUUGAGAUGAGUGUCCCUUGACAGCACAAGGAGGGGGGAGCUGUCCACUGAAGCUGUGACUAGAAUAGGAAGCAAGCAAUGCUAACAGGAUGCAGAGCAAAACGAGGCAUCUGCUGUGAUGGGUUUCUACUGCAAUCUUUAGCGUGGAAAAUUACUGUAAAAUACACCAGUGUACUCUCCUACCUGGAUAGUGCCAAGGGAUGCUAUUUACGUCUCCUCACUAUGCUGAAAGCCAUCUUAAAUAAGCAUACCAAGUAAGACCAGUAUGCUUACUAUGGCCUGCAGCUUCACAACAGAUUUUUUGGCUGUUCAUUUCCACUCAGAUGGCUGCUCCUUUGCAGACGGAUGCAAAUUCUGAAACUUGAACAGGCAGUACACACGCGGGAUGAGACGGAUUCGUUGCAUGAGCAGUGAGAAAUUAGCAGCUUAGGUUGCAGUGUGCUGGUUUCAUCCUAACAAGAGGAAACAUGAGACCUGAAUUUCCACGAGGGGAGACUCAGUGAAGCUAGAAUGCAGGCCCCAAAAAUGGUGGACCAGGGGAACCAACAAGCAAGUCAAACGAAGACAGGCUGUCACAGUGUGAAUCACCACCUGUUGUGUGGAACCAGGUACUCUGACAAUAUCCACUGUGACAUGGGAAGGACAGACAUCAUCGAUGGUAUCAUCAAUGUACAGAGAUUACUGCCCUACUAAAGCAAUGGACAACAACACUUGCAUCUUAAAGACAAGUAGGAAUUAUCUGGGGUAAAGGUAUCAGAGGAAGGAGCCAGAAAAUGGAUAACAGGCAGAGGAAACAGCACAUUUGAAAGCCCAAGGCACUGUUCUGAGGUGCGUGGAAUGAAGCGAUGACAGCUGGAACCAGAGGGGAGCUCCUGAAUCAUGAUGUGAACUUGAGAACAGAGGCCCAGAAAGGUGACAGAUAGACAUAGCUGAAUCAAUGAAGGACAAUACUUGCCUAAAAUGUGCAACAUAAAUAUAGAAAUCCUAUGAACAGAAGAUUCAAAACCAGUACUGGAACAAAACCAUCUCUGAGCUCUGGUGAAUCUUCUGUGUAGAAGGCCACAUCUGAACGACCAACAAAGUCUUUCAGCUGCUUCCUUGUUCCAUAGCUGGCCAGACUACAGAUCUUGCUGGCUGGCUUUUUCAUUAUUCCUCCUUUGAAGAUCUCUUUAACCACACCUUUCUGGAACCGAGGGACAAGAAAUACUCUUUAAAAACCGUUGGAUUACCACGUUGAGAAGCAUCUUUGUGCUUUCUUCUUCUUUUUCUGGAUGAAGAUCAGCCAAACACAGAAGCAGCAUUAAUGUUCCUUUGCUGGCAGUUCCAUCCAACCUCCCAGGGGAAGGCAUUUUGCCAAGUUCUUCUCUGCCCAUUUGAAAUUCAAAUCCCUGAAUAAGCCUCAGUGCCACCUUUGUCCAGAAACCUCAAAAGCCCCAGUCCAUGUCAAUCUGCCUUGAAAUUAUAAAGGGACAUAUUACUGUGUAGGAAGAUAAGCUGUGUUGAAAUAACAUCCAGGGUGGUUGUUAAAUAAAUUCAGGAAAACCAAGACAUUCACUGUUAAGCCGAGACUCUGUCCUCAACUCACCUCCCAGGCAAGAAGUGGGCAGAGAAGCCACAUGCUGGAGGUAGACACUCUUGAACUAAUGACUUCAGUGGCUAUUUGACUUAAAAAUAAUGUAACUUGCCAACUUCUAGAAGUUUAUGAGCUGUUGUUUCAGACAUCUCCACAGGUGUGAUUAAAGCUUCAGCUUAAGAAAAUUUUAGUUAAGAUGGGAGAAACUUGGGUCCAUUUUCUAGCUCAGAGAUUCUGUUGCUGUGUGGCCUCGGCAUGUUUAUUCAGGACCAUCCCGAACUUUAUUUUCCCUAUUCACAAAAUGGGACCAUUCAGAUUGGAUUAUACAGUUGUUUUUAGGAUAAAAUAAGCAUGGGAAGAUAGUUUCAGAAGUAAAAGGUCCAACAUAAUGUAAGGGUUAAAGAUCAGAUAUACACUAAGAAGCCAUGUGGCUACACUUUCUGACUGCUAAGGGAUUUGUUUGAAGCCUGUGUCCCAUUUGAUUUUGAAGGCAUUUACCAGGCACCUACUCUGUAUUAGCAUGUUUUCCCUGGUGCCAUAAA